CAGCAGAGUGUGUUCCAAAUCCAACAUUGUAACAUUCCCCGGACAAUCUUCAGUCUCCACCUUCCUCUUGCACCCUUUCCUACUAUCCUCUGGAUCAAUAAAUUCGAAGUUCUGAGAUGGGCACCUGCAAAUUGGACCCGUAUCAUUAUAACUACAAAUCCCCAUAUCCCCACAAUAUCCAUAAACUCUACACUGAUCUUCAACAGCUGCCCAUCUAUCCGUUAGAGUCCCACUACCCCUUUGAGAGCUAUAAAUCCUUAAGUUCCCAUCAUUAUCUAAUUUCAGAAACCUUAGCAUAUCACCAGCUUCAGCAUAAUCAUCACUAUACACCAUGAUAGCUCCAACAGAAGGCAGCGUUUCAUCGAACACAGACA
rnacentral:misc_RNA from 1 species